UUUGCACGAGAUGCUUGAAAAUGCAGCUGUCAAUCCUCAACAAGUGAACAUAUUUUUUUGCUAAUGCAUUCAUACAAACACCGCCACUUUUAGACUUUGGAGACCAACACAGUCAAGCCCAUUACUGUAUGUUUACCUCAUAAUGCAGUUAUUAUAGUUUAGACGAGCAAAGAAAAAGCCUCUGAUCAGAUUUGUUUGGUGUGUCCAGCCCCGUCCUUUCUGCCCCUGGUCCCCCCCCCCCCCCCCCCGUCUGCGACAGGUACAGUCUGCUGUGGUCCCAAGACCCAGGGGAGUCUGAGUCAGCCGCCCGCUCAGGCUCGAAGAAAACCUCAUCUUCUGCCUUCUGCAUACAAGUGGCUUUAUGUUUCACCACAUCGCUGUAGACCUCGGGUGUCAGUGGACACCGAUGCGGAGGGCGGAGCUCGACCCUUUGGCGGAUGAAAGGAAACAAAUCUGGCACAGAGGAAGGUGGAGGCUUACUUGUCGAUUAAGGAACAGAGGUGGCAGCAUAUGACAGAUUUACAUCCAGCGGUGUGGAGAAACGCAUCUAUCUCUGAGCAGCGCUGAAGAGAGGUGGACGGAUUCUCCAUGUUCCUCAUCGCAGCCAUAGUGACGUUCAAGCAUUCCGUCGGCCGUGUUCAAGAGGAGCACGCGACAUACAAAUGACAUUUACCUUGAUGCUGUGCCUGUGGGCGGCGUCCAUGACGGCGGGAACCAGGUCCUCUGUGGGCUCCCCGUGGUCGUCCGCCACCCCGGGAGGAUACCAGGACAACACCAGCACCCCUGCAACACCACCACAAGGAGACGAGCCGUGAAGUUUGAAUGUGAUGCUUAUUGAAUUAUUGAGGUGGCGGAAGGUUCUUGCCUCUGGAGGCCACAGCUUGACAUCCUCGUUGCACCAGGCGGAGGGGAGAGCAGCUUGUUUCAGACUUUUGCGCAUCCAGGAUCAAACCCAGGGUCUCUGACGACAAAGGCGCUUGUCAAUCUUGCAAGUGUUAUCAUAUGCAUUUUUGCGCAGUGUGUAAACUGUACAAAAUGCCCAAGAUAAUUUCUCCAACAGUCGUUUCUGUGUUAAAGGAGGCAGUAAGAUCAUUUUAAUCCAACUUUUUAUAAAAAGCGGCAAACAUUUACUGACAGUCCGCUAGCUGUCACUUCUGUUUGCGCCAGGAAAAAAUAUCUGGUGCGCAUCUCACACAGAGAUGAUAAAUCAGUGUCAUUUGAUGUAUCAUCUCUCAGUUCGUGGAACGCUUGUUUCAUUUAUUAUGGCUUCUUAUGUAAAGCACUGUGAAUUCCCUUGUCUUUUACAUGUGCAAGUAAGUCUAUAACUUUUAUGCUUCUUUAUUUCAGAACCCUUCCUUUCUCUGUGGCACUAAUCACCUCUCAUACAGACUUCUUCUUCUUUAUUAUAAUUAUAAUUAUUUAAAUGUAUUCUGACAGAUGCUCAGUUGUAUUUUAAUUAACUACAAACAAUUCUGUUUAUCUGAAUGACCUGACUGCGGUCUCCUCAACUCAGAAAGUAAAGCAGUUUGAAGGGAAGUCCCGCCACAAAGUCCCAGAUUGUGCAGAUCAUGCACUUUUCUACAUCCUCCAGACCCUGAAGGUGUCUAGCUGUUUGUGUUGAGAUAACAACUUCCAUAUCCUUCUUUUUAAACAUGAUGCAUGAAACUUUAUUUGCAGUACCAAGUACCAAAUUGUACUCGUGGGUGGUCUCACAGAAUGCAUGCUGGAGGUGACACCUGGUGGGAGUUCCUGGAGGGUUUCACCUUGUAAAGACACUCCAGUGCUGGAGCCGUGCUCACCCUCGCAGCGUGAAUAUGAUUCUAAUCAUACGAUUUAAAGGCUGAGGCGAAGAACAUUCAUCUCAUCUGGAUGUAAAAGAGCUGGACACAAUAAAUCUAAGGAAUCUUUAAAUGCAAAUGAUGUGCUGUGGAGGAGCAGACAGUAUGGUAUAAUAGUAUUAUUUCAAUAAUCAAGUAAUUCAGUCCCUAUCAUAUAUAUUUUGAUUGUUCCAAACGUCUUAAAGAAACAUACUCCUCCACUGCUGCAGAUGUUGUAGGAGGUCAAAGAUGGCCGACAGCCUGUCAGCGAGCCUCCAUCUGCUCCCUCGGUCAAAGAGCUGAGCUCAAAGCUGCACCGCCGGCAGUCGGUCCUUCUCCAGCAGACCUCCUCCUCUCACUGGGAUCUUGAUUCGGGUGACGCACUGAGCAGUUGAAGAAUCUGUUUCUGGUUGCCUUUUAUAUUCAGUUUUAUUGGGCCACCCUUACAUGGACAUGCAUUUAUUUUACGUAUAUGUGUGUCCUUGCUCUUAUUUUGGACUUUGUGUUUCACAGGGGUCUCAAAUAUUUAAGGACUUUUAUAGGACUUUUUUGCUGUAUGUUGCAUAUGGCCAAUGUAAAGCACUUUGUGGCCUGUGGCUGUGAAUACA